UGUGUGUGUAAGGGUGCUCUUUUUGUGGUAUGUGUGUGUGAGGGUGUUUGUGUGUGUGUGUGUUUGUUAGGGUCCUGUUAGUGUGCUGUGUGUGCGAGGGUGCUGUUUCUGUGCUGUGUGUUUAAAAGAUUGCUAUGUGUUUGAGGGUGCUGUAUGUGCGAGGGUGCUGUAUGUGUGUGGGUGCUGCAUGUGUGUGCUGUGUGUGUGUGGGUGCUGUGUGUAUGUGUGUGCUGUAUGUGUGUAGGUGCUGUGUGUGUGCUGUAUGUGUGUGGGAGAUUGUGGAGGGUGGAGGUGGGGGUACAUUACUUAAUAUCCC